UGCCCAGCUUCCUCUGGGGGUGGGGUGUCUGCAGCCUGCCCUCUGACAGAGCACAGCCCUCCAUGUCAGGGUGCAGAGACAGGGCUCCUUCCCCAAGAGACCCCUAUGACCUGUAUUUUAUCCUGGGGCUUGGGCAUCCUAAGGGACUGACUGGGUCACCUCCAGUCACAGCCCCCCAGCAGCCCCCCAAGCAGAGUCAAGCUACCAGCUGAGAAGCUGAAGGCCGGGAGCCAGCAGGCCAGCUGCUCCUCCGUCACGGCCUCAGCUUCCCCACCUACACAGCAGAGGCUAAGUUCCUGCCUCCAGCUGCCAGCACGAUAGCCCAGUCCUGUAAUCCAGCUGCUCUGGAGGCUGGGGCAGGAGGAAUUCAAGCUCGAGGCCCUUAUAGUGAGAACUUGUCUCAAAACAAAAAAGGGUUAGAGAUGUAGUUCAGUGGUAGAGCAUCUGCCUAGUGUGUGUAGGGCCUGGAUCAAACCCCAGCACCCACAGAAAAUAAAUACCUGGGGGCUGGGGACGUGGCUCAAGCGGUAGCCCGCUCGCCUGGCAUGCGUGAGGCCCUGGUUCGAUCCUCAGCACCACAUACAAACAAAGAUGUUGUGUCCGCCGAAAACUAAAAAAUAACUAUUAAAAAAAUUCUCUCU
rnacentral:lncRNA from 1 species